CGGGGCGUAGCGCAGUUGGUAGCGCGCGUCGUUCGGGUCGACGAGGUCAUGGGUUCGAAUCCCGUCGCCCCGA
rnacentral:tRNA from 1 species